UGACCCCAUACGAUCAGUGAAGUUAAGCAACAUCAAGCCUGGUCAGUACCUAGAUAGGUGACCACUUGGGAAUAUCAUUUGCUGUAA